UACGGGGGGUGCGAGCGUUGUCCGGAAUCACUGGGCGUAAAGGGCGCGUAGGCGGCCACGCACGUCCGUUGUGAAAUCGCCCGGCUCAACUGGGCGGGGUCAGCGGAUACGGUGUGGCUCGAGCAAGCUAGGGGGCAAUGGAAUUCCCGGUGUAGUGGUGGAAUGCGUAGAUAUCGGGAGGAACACCAGUGGCGAAGGCGGUUGCCUGGAGCUUUGCUGACGCUGAGGCGCGAAAUCGUGGGGAGCGAUCCGG
rnacentral:rRNA from 1 species